AGCAGGAUGUGGGCGGGGUCAAAUAAAGGAAUAAAAAGCUGGUAGCCGAGCCGGCAGUGGCAAACCGUUUGGGUCCUUCUCGGUACUCUGGUGGCUUUGUUGUUUUGCUCUUUGCGGUAGAUCUUGUUGCUGCUUGCUCUUCGGGGCCGCACAACCUUUAUGAGCUAUAACACUCCUGGCAGAGGUCUGCAGCUUCAUUCUUGAAGCCAGCGAGACCACGAACCCACUGGGAGGAACAAACAACUCCAGACGCGCCACCUGUAAGAGCUGUAACACUCCCUGUGAAGGUCUGUGGCUUCACUCCUAAAGUCAGCGAGACCAGGAACCCACCGGAAGGAACUCCAGACACAAAGAACUGCAACACUCACCCGAGGGUCUGUGGCUUCAUUCUUGAAGUCAGUGAGAUUAAGAACCCACCGGAAGAAACCAGUUCCGGACGUGCCGAGUUCAAGCAAUUGUCCUGCCUCAGUCUCCGGAGUAACUGGGAUUACAGCCUCAUUUCUCAACCCGACUGUGAUGACUGCCGCUUGCUGGAAAGAUGCUCUGAAGACACAAUGAACUGACGAUGCGUCACCCCGACUCCUGCCUGAGCCACUCCAUUCCUUAAAGACGCAACCGAAUGCCAAAAAUACGGAGGAGGCAGUGCGGCAUGGAGGCGGAUCUGCCUUACGAAAUGGGCAGGGGCCCCACGCGUGGGAGACGGCCACAGGCAUUUGGAAGAGUGUGGCACUUUUUCAGGAAAUGCAACAUCCUUCUACUCUGUGACCCAGCGGCUCCCCCUGGUGUUUACCAGAGAGAAAUGGACGCAGACAUCUGCCCAGAUGCAGGCACAGGAAGGUUCGUAGCCGCUGUGUUUCAAUAUUGUAAUUGCGCCAAUCUGGAGAUGACAGAGUCCAGGCUCAGGAGCGUGACUGGCAGCUGUGGCACAUCUGUGCCAUGGAGUGCUGCUCAGCACCAGGGGCAGGGGCUGUGGACGGAGCUGUGGACACAAUGUCAGGACCACGGUGGGCGAGGAGACGGGAAGCCGGGGGCCCUGUCCUGUGGGGUUCUGGAGCAGGCAAAGCAUGCCUGGGACAGAGAUGGCCAGGCCAAUAUUACCCCUGGGCGAGGGCCAACAGCAAGGCCAGGACUGAGCUUUCUGGGGUGGUGUUGAUGCAGGUGGACACAGCUGUCUACACGGAGUCCACCUCCCCCACUGCCAGCAUCUGUCCCGGAGGGCUCGGCUCACUGGCAGUUUGUCCGCAAGGUGGUGCUCAGUCACCAUGCACAGGAUAUUUUGACCGAAAGUUCUGUUUUUGCCAUAAAUUGCACCCUGACCACA